rnacentral:rRNA from 1 species
CAGAGUCUUACGAUUUUGUAAUUGGAAUGAACUAAGUUUACAACCCUUUAUAAGUAACAAUUGGAGGGCAAGUCUGGUGCCAGCAGCCGCGGUAAUUCCAGCUCCAAUAGCGUAUAUUAAAGUUGUUGCAGUUAAAAAGCUCGUAGUUGGAUUUCAGUCAAAUGUAUAUUUUACUUUUUCGAAAGUUAUUAUAUCAUUGACUUUUCCCAUCCCAUACAUUUGUAUAGGGAUGGAUUUUACUUUGAGAAAAUUAGAGUGCUUAAAGCAGGUUAUCGCCUUAAAUACUCCAGCAUGGAAUAAUAAGAAAUGACUUUUAUUUUUCUUAUUGGUUCUAAAAUAAAAGUAAUGAUAAAUAGGAACAGUUGGGGGCAUUUGUAUUCAACAGUCAGAGGUGAAAUUCUUAGAUUUGUUGAAGACAAACUACUGCGAAAGCAUUUGCCAAGGAUGUUUCCAUUAAUCAAGAACGAAAGUUAGGGGAUCGAAGACGAUCAGAUACCGUCGUAGUCUUAACCAUAAACUAUGCCGACUAGAGAUUGGAGGUUGUUCCUAUACUCCUUA